UACCAAGAGCUUAUACGCAGGCAGUGUUUAGCACGGUGCCCGCCACAUGGUGAGUGCUCACGGAGUCCGAGCCACUGUUGGCCCUCCUCCCCGGUAAAAGGCUAAGUAUUCACUCAUUCAUUCAGUUUAUUGAGUGCCUGUAUGUGCUGGGCACUGGGGGCUCAGGGUCUCCUGACACCCAGCCUCCAGCCUCCGGGGGUUCACAGAGUGGAGGCUGUUCAGACCUUACCCUCGGGACUCCCAGGAUCAGGCAGGGCCGAGUAUGGGGCAUCCCCUUUAAAGUCCACCGGUUUACUUCCCACCGCUUUCCCUGGUUGCAGUUUGUUGUUUUCAUUCUGCUAGGGGCUGACCUCAGCAUGGUUUAAUGGCCUCGCCUCCUGUGGCCCCUCUCAACUGACACCUGGAAUGCCACUCUGCGCCGCCUGGGCCUCGCUGUCGCUGCUAAUGAGGUUUCCUAACAAAGCCCUGCCUUGCUGGAGUCUGCUCAGAGGGACUUCUGGACUGCAGCCUGGGGACCCGGGCUCUGUGGGAGGAAGGGGAUGUGGCGAGGGGGGAGGGCCGAGGGAACACACAUUUCUUUCAGAGAAGGCCGAGGACCGGGUGGGGGAGGGAAGGCCCGCAGCUCCUCUAGGCCUGUGGCCACUGGCCGGUCACUGGGGCACUGAUGCUAAACCCCAGGCUCUGGGGCCGUCUCUGUAGUCAACCAGAGCAAGGGCUGAAGGGGACAGGACCAGGGGUAGGGCCUGGGCCUCCGGGGCCACACCUAGCACAGUGCCCUGCACAAGGGGGCCCUGGCUCAGUGUGUGCUGGUGGCCUCUCUCUAGUCUGCAAGAUGGCCUUGUGUGUGCCCAGCCGUUGUCCCCUCUGUCCCCUCCCAUCUGCCCCGGGGAAGCUUCAUGUGCCACCGCUGCCAGUCUUGGCUGCCCCUGGGAAGAUUCUAGCGUGAGGCCAAACUUGAAGGAAGAAGAGGUAGCUCCACAAUGAGCCCUCAAGACCAAAGAGGACUCACCCAGAGAAGAGAAGGCGGUGAGAUGGUCCAGGAAUAGAUGCGUUUCAAGGCUGCAGAGGAUCUUCAGACCUGGGAGAGGGAACACUGCUCUCGGGCUCCGCGGAGCCUCUGAUCAAGAGAAGUAUGUAGAAAACACAUCACAGGACAUCCACAAUCAGUCGACAAAUAUCUAUCAAACACCUACUCCCUGUAAAUGACUGCCAAAAGGCUGCUCUUGGUCAGAACUCAACUCCAAGUUCAAGGAAGGGCAGCCACCGCAGGGUACUUAUUGCUGCUGUGUAUCUGGUGCUGUGCCAAGGGCAGCAUCUCAUUCAGCUUUCCCAAAAACCUGGGAGGAGGGAGAUGUUGCUGUCAUCACCCGUCAUUACAGAUGAAACAACUGAGGACCAGAGAGGGCAAGUAAUUGGCUCAAGGACACACAGCUGGUAAGCAAUAGUGCUAGAGUCACAACUCCAAGCCUGGCCCUGAGCGUUGUGCUAGACCAUCAGUCUGCCUGUUGGGAGGAGGAGAUUCAGAGGCCUGGGAGGAAGUUGACGAAGCAUAGGACAGGUUGGAGGUGAGUGGACAAUGUACAUUGGCAGAGCAGCUGGAGCAGAGGGAUCGCCAAAGUGGGGACACCAGAUUUCCAGGAAGUGAGUACAUGGGCCUGUGGCAUAAACGGAAAGAUGGAUUGAGAAGGGCCUGAAGUGCCAGGCUGAAGAGUUGGCCUCUAUCCCGUAGGUAAUGGGGAGUUAUGGAGGGCUCUUGAGUAGUUUGAAUUAUGGGAGUAGUAUUUGAGGAUAGCGAGGCCGGCCAGGUGCAGACCUGUAUGGGACGGACGGAACUGCAUUCGAGGGAGCUGUGACAUGUCCCUGGAGCUAUAUACAGCCCCUCUCCCUGGCCAGUUCAGGGCAGGACCAUCCUGCUGAGAUCAAAACCGUGUCUGUCAGACCGCCAUGUCCAGGAAACUUCAGAUGAGGGCUGAGAGCAAGUGUGCAGCAUUCCCAGAACUAUUUGUCAGAUCUGAGGACCACCUAGACUUAUUAUUCAUUUAAUAGCUUCCUUAAAUCAACUCUCUCACUCUCUUUUGCUUUACUCAAGGCUACUUGAACUGAAAACUCUGUAUCAUGGGAUUGACAUUCUACCUCUCCCUCCAAUCACAUUGAAAUAAAUACAUUUAAAAAUAAAUAUGUAACUAUUAAAAUGAAAAAUGUUUAUCCAAGUUCCGUCUAAAGUCACCCCAGGGACCUCUGCACUUAGGAAAUAUCGCCUUGGUGACCCUCCCCUCGCUCCUUCCCCGGUUGAAAUGACCUCACUCAAAGAUUUCACAUUUGGAAAAAGCAAGUCAGAAAUCAUUCAGAGCCAGGGGAGGGGAGGAGGUUGGGCACCAGGGGGCCUCUGCACACCAGUCCCAGUGGGGCGUGAGAUGGAGGGGCUGGGGCAGCUGAGGGAGCUGCCUGGGGAGUGAAUGAGGCCUUGUUUCCCGCAGUGGCAGUUAGGCGGUGUGCAGAGACCGGGCCGCAAAUGUAAAGUUUCCAAUAACUUUUGUGGAUGGUUUUCCAAUAAACAUGUAUGCCGUCUGUCUGGACCAGUAGAUGUUCAGUCCCAGGUGCCUGGCGACGGGGCUGGAUGGGGGGCUGCUCUCUGCAACGUCAGGCCUCUGAAUCCCUCCCACCGUGUCCCCCCUCCCCAACCCCGACUUGUCCCCUUGUUCUUUCUUUUCGCUGAGAUUAGAAUAGCUUGCAUUUGCUGAGAGCUGAGUGUGAAUUCUCUUCACAUUUUAUCUUAAUCCCCACAAUCGCUUUAUAAGGUAGGUGUUAGCAUCGUACCACUUUCGUAGGUCAGGAAACAUGGCAGCACAUCAGCCCAGGAGCCCUUUGGACCCAGGUCCGUGUGACCCCAAAGCCGUGGUCUCAGCCACCUGCACCCUAUUUCCACUGCAUCGCUCUUCCUCAGCCUCAUCAGCGCACCGCCCUCCCUCUCCUCCUCUGCGUCUCUGGUCAGAGCCAGUCUCAGCCAGAAACAGCACGAGAGAAGCUCCUCUCACAACUGACACCACUCAUGAAUAUAGAGGGCUGGUCUGCAGAUGCUCAAUGGGCUUGUUGGGUCUAUCCAAAGACAGAACAUUAUAGGAGAAGAAACUCUCAAGAAAUUAUAAGCUCCCUGAGGGCAGAGACCACAGACUGGGAAAGUCCUUCUCCUUCCAAGAUGGAGCUUAAGACAGGCAGGGCCAGCAGAUGAGGGGGGCAGCGCUCAGGCUCCCUGCAUGCCAUGUCCACACCUUAAUGCUCUGAUCCAGCAUCUGACAGCGUUGCUGGGCUCCUGGGCUUGGAGCACCAUGUUUCUUUUACUUUAACACAAGCAAGAGAGAGAGAAGACAAAAAGAUAGGCAGCUAGGGGAUCUCAAUAGCUGCCCAGCCCAAGCACCAGCAGCCAUUGGAUGGGGAAGACCGACCAGGAGUGAAGCCUGAGAGUGGGUCUGGUUGCUCCCCUCGCCUCAGCUUGCUUCCUCUUUCAGAGGAAAGAAGUGCGGCCCUAGACUCUGAAGGGUGUCAUCGUCACCGAAGGACAGAGGGCGCCUGUUCCAGCAGCCCCUUUGGGGCUGGCAUUCCUCUUCAAGCCCCAGCACCUAUGGUCAUUUUUCUUUCUGAUUUAUGUUUCCUGUGGAAAGUCUGAAGAAAAACCGUGGAGCAUCUUUUGAGUUUGCCUUUGGAAGGGAGAAAAUAUGCUCCUUCUCUGCUGGGCAAACAUCACAAACAUUGGUGCUUUCACAAUUCAAACACAAGCUGGUUUUCAAAGCCUCCCCGCCUGGCGGCCCGUGGAGCUGUCGCUGUCAGAGGGAGGACGGGCUGCAGCCACCUGGGUUGGGGAGGUUUGCUUUGGGAGCGGAGCUUGGAAUUUGUGAAUUUUCUACUCCAAGCACAUCCAAACGGUGCAGCCACAGUCCCCUUCUGCACAACCUCGUUCAGGCAACCGGGGCUCCAUCUGCCUGGGCUGGGGUGGAGAGCCAAGGGCCUCGGAUGACUCCCUGCCCCACCACCCCCCCAAGCCUGUGGCGGGGCAGGGGGAGGCUUAGCGGGAGGACAAAGAUGAACAAAGAUGCCCUCAGGGACUCUGGUCCUGCUCUCAGGAUGAUGCUGAGCACAGAGGGUGGAGGUGAGAGUGAAGGGGACACGCUUCUGCAUCCACACAUUUUUCACCCUCCCAAACAUGAAUCAGGGCAGAAGUUGUUCCUAUAAAGAGGAAUUGUGAGAGGCAGCUGCAGACUGUGGGCUGUCUGGCUCUUUCCAUUAGUCUGUAACAAGGGUCUCCUUCCUUCCUCCAACCCUUCCUCCCUCUUUCCUCCCCCUCCUCCUUCCUUCUUUUCCUUCCUUCCUUCCUUCCUUCCUUCCUUCCUUCCUUCCUUCCCAAGAGAAUAAUAUAAUAACUGCCAAGUACCCAUCAAUAGCUUUAACAAUUAUCAACUCAUGGCUAAUCUUAUUUCAUCUGUAACUACACCUACCCCAGCCACUCCCUGAACUCCCACUGGAAUGUUCUGAAGCAGAUUCCAGGUAUCACUUUAUCCAUAGAUAUCUGGACUUUUUUUUUUUUUUUUUUAAGUAUUGAACUCUUAGGAACACCAAGGACCCACCCUCCUCUCCCACCACUUAGAAAAAUGCUCCCCCCAGGCUUACCUAUAAAUAUUGCAAAUCACUGCAGGGGUCCAGGGAACCUCUGAGGCACAUCUGAAGACCUUAAAUUGAAAACCUCAGGUAUAUGGGAUAAUUUCUACCUCCAAAGGAGAACCUUCUUUUUGAUAGCUUGGAACUAUUAGCUGGUCCAUCAAAGGAGAUUUGCUCUCUUAUGUUAUUUGCAAUAUUUACUGAGUGCAUGGACCAGAGCCGGGUUAGAAAAGGGGCCCAAAGCAGGGCAGCUGCCAGUGAGGCGCGUAGGGUCUGGUUGGGGAGGAGCUCUUGGGCUGAGAGAGCAGGAGCUGAGGGGGCACUCGGAGGGAGGGAGGGAGGGAGGGUGAGAGGGUGAGAGGGAGGAAGGUUCUGCAUAAUCUCUCCUGGGGAUUUGUUUAUUGGCCUGCAUUAGUUUAGUCUUUUAGUGGCUGUUAAUGUGUUUGUCUAGGGUCUGUUGUAAUGUCUCUAAGAUAAAGACCAGCUCAAUUUACACUCCACCAGCAAUUGCUGGGUUUGAGGCUCGAGGAGCCUGUGGGGGAAGUCACUCAGUGAUCAAAGCCCUACUUCAAGGUGUCCCCAAGCUCCUAAACUUGGAAGGGAAGCCCCGUUUCCCCGAGAACAUCGGCAGAGUGCACAGAAAAACAGGGGGUUCCCUCCGGGCCAGACAAAUAGAUUUUUAAAAUGAGGAAUAGAACUUCUUUGUUCUUUUUGUUUUUCUUUAGAGAGGAAGUGUGGGAGCAAAACCAUUUUAGAUGUGGGGAGGCUGUGGAGAAAGCCUAGAAGUUUUCUGAUGUUAUCCAAUCCUUUGCUAUUCCUCCACCCCUACCCCAUCCCAGUCCAGUGUCCACAAGCCCAGGGACCUAUAGUCAAGUCCAAGUGGCACAGAAGGAAAAAGAGAGGGCCUGGUGCUGGCGCACGGGUACCUAGGCCAAUGAGGCACCAGAGGAAGAGCUGGGACAGGCACAAACAAACCUUGGAAUUUAUUACAUAGAGAGGUGGCAUUUCACCCAGUGAGGAGAGAAAGACUUCUCAAUAAAUAUCCUGAGGAGACAUUGGGGGAAAAAAUAGAGUCAGAUUCAUACUUCACACCUUUAAAGGAACUGAGUUGCCUGUAGAUAUAAAGCUUAAAUGUAAAAAUCAAGGGUACCUGGGUGACUCAGUCAGUUGAAUGACUGACUCUUGAUUUCGAUUCAGGUCAUGAUCUCAGGGUUAUGAGAUCGAGCCCCUCAAGCCCCGCACCAGGCU